rnacentral:rRNA from 1 species
UGACCUCGGAUCAGGUGGGGAUACCCCCNUGAACUUAAAGCAUAUCAAUAAGCGGGAGGA